rnacentral:misc_RNA from 1 species
ACCUAGCCCCGAUUGUAGCAUUUGUCUGAGCUCAUUUUUAGGUUUCGGCGGCGGCUUUGCCGCCGCCGAAACCUAAAAAUAGCGAGUGCGGAAAGCGGGAAAAAGC